CCUACGGGUGGCAGCAGUGAGGAAUAUUGGUCAAUGGGCGCGAGCCUGAACCAGCCAAGUCGCGUGAGGGAAGACGGUCCUAUGGAUUGUAAACCUCUUUUGUCAGGGAGCAAUGGCGUCCACGUGUGGGCGUAUGGAGAGUACCUGAAGAAAAAGCAUCGGCUAACUCCGUGCCAGCAGCCGCGGUAAUACGGAGGAUGCGAGCGUUAUCCGGAUUUAUUGGGUUUAAAGGGUGCGUAGGCGGGACCUUAAGUCAGCGGUAAAAUUGCGGUGCUCAACGCCGUAGAGCCGUUGAAACUGGUGUUCUUGAGUGAGCGAGAAGUAGGCGGAAUGCGUGGUGUAGCGGUGAAAUGCAUAGAUAUCACGCAGAACCCCGAUUGCGAAGGCAGCAUACCGGCGCUCAACUGACGCUGAGGCACGAAAGUGCGGGUAUCGAACAGGAUUAGAUACCCCAGUAGUC
rnacentral:rRNA from 1 species